rnacentral:lncRNA from 1 species
UUCCAAGGUAGGGUUUCUUCUCAAUUUGUUUUCUGAAUAAAAACUAAAUAAAAAAUACUCUACAGCCCAAAACUUAUGUCUGUGGCUUUUGACGUUUCUACAGCCCAAAAAAAGGAAAAAAGUGAAAAGUGGUUGUAGACUUUAAAAAUAAAUGUAAAGCAUGAUUGCUGUGGACAUGUGGCUGUAGAGAAAAAUAUGGCUGUGGAAAGAUUCUAAAGCCACAACCAAUC